rnacentral:rRNA from 1 species
UACGUAGGGUGCAAGCGUUGUCCGGAAUUAUUGGGCGUAAAGAGCUCGUAGGCGGUCUGUCGCGUCGGCUGUGAAAACCCGAGGCUCAACCUCGGGCCUGCAGUCGAUACGGGCAGACUAGAGUGUGGUAGGGGAGACUGGAAUUCCUGGUGUAGCGGUGAAAUGCGCAGAUAUCAGGAGGAACACCGGCGGCGAAGGCGGGUCUCUGGGCCGUAACUGACGCUGAGGAGCGAAAGCAUGGGGAGCGAACAGG